GAUGAACGCUGGCGGCGUGCCUAAUACAUGCAAGUCGAGCGAAGCGGGGACGGGUGAGUAACACGUGGGUAACCUCCUAUAAGACUGGGAUAACUUCGGGAAAACGGAGCUAAACCGGAAACUUAUAGAUGGAUCCGCGCCGCAUUAGCUAGUGGGUAAGGUAACGGCUUACCAAGGCAACGAUGCGUAGCCGACCUGAGAGGGUGACCGGCCACACUGGAACUGAGACACGGUCCAGACUCCUACGGGAGGCAGCAGUAGGGAAUCUUCCGCAAUGGGCGAAAGCCUGACGGAGCAACGCCGCGUGAGUGAUGAAGGUCUUCGGAUCGUAAAACUCUGUUAGUAGGGAAGCGGUACCUAAUCAGGAAGCCACGGCUAACUACGUGCCAGCCGCCGCGGUAAUAC
rnacentral:rRNA from 1 species